rnacentral:lncRNA from 1 species
AUGUUUGUAACCAAUUACUGUAAGAAUAGUUAUAUAUAGAAAUAACAGAGUAGCAAUAAACUCCGCUAUUGCUGCUCUGUAUAGUGACCAUUUGGUCAAUUCCUCGAAAUCGAUCAGAGGAGCAGGCGGUGGAUCAGUGUAAUCCUUUGCGGAGUACUCCACCGCCUGCUCGUGAACCGCUUCGACUUCUUUCGUCAUCUGAGUGAAAACAGAGGAUGCUCUGUUUUUUUGUUAGAGAAAAACAGGGGAAAACAGAGUAUGCUCUGUU